GGUGUACUGGAAGGUGUACCUGAAAUAUC
rnacentral:rRNA from 1 species